rnacentral:lncRNA from 1 species
UCUAACCAUACAGACACUACAGGCUGUGGGAGAAAUAUAUCUAACCAUACAGACACUACAGGCUGUGGGAGAGAUAUAUCUAACCAUACAGACACUACAGGCUGUGGGAGAGAUAUAUCUAACCAUACAGACACUACAGGCUAUAGGAGAGAUAUAUCUAAACAUACAGACACUACAGGCUAUAGGAGAGAUAUAUCUAAACAUACAGACACUGCAGGCUGUGGGGAGGUUGUAGAGGGGGUAGUUCAUUCUAAUUGUGCUGCUAACAGUCCUUCAGACCUUUCUGAACCCUUAGCUUCCUACCUGGAGACAAGAGGCCUGCUAUUGGACAGCGCAGAGAAAGAGGAGGUGCAGCAGUCCAGCCCCCACCAAUCCCCUAACCCUCCCUCAGAGGGAGACAGACAGGACUGUAGCAAAUCACCUGGGGCUUUAGGAUUAGAGGACAGUUUGUUUGCUGAGGAGUCCAGCUCGUACAGCACCUACCUCCAGACCAGCUCUCACCCUGCCCUCCUGCAGCAGGAUCGUGGGGUGAGGAUUGUGAGGUACCCCUACUCCGACGUCAGUCUCAACCUGCUCUCUCUCAGUAGCCUCGAGCCCAUCCUAGAGACAGACUCCGACCGCUCCCUGGACAACUCUGGGAUUGUGGAGGAUGUGACUGGAGUAGAGGAGGAGGGGGAGGAGGAGGAGGAGGAAGAAGGGGAGGAGGAGGAGCAAAGACAGAGUUUUAGGAUGAGGCCCACUGAGAAAGACAGGGACAGUGUUGUCCUGUCUGGUGACAUCAUCCUGUCAAACUCCACCUCCGGCCUUGAGAGCCCGUCGUUGUGUCUCCCCGAGGACUCAUCCAGUAUCGAGUCAUCAGAGCACCAACUGGACGCGUUGACCUUUGACCCCGAUGACCUCAGGGUUAUGACCUUACCACACGACAGGGACCAUGCAAGCAGCGAGAGACGCUCCAGUCCAACCCCCACCUCUGUGUCCUACGACUUUGACACCACCAGCACUAACAGUGAGGAGACGGAAGAGUCCAUCCUGCCUGUCUCGGGGGGGAACACCAACCUCCACAAACCCAUGAAGAGCAACUCUAAAGACAGCCAGGCAGGAAGGUCCAAGAGCUCCAAGUUCUCUGUUUUUGCCAAGAUGCCUUCUUUCAGGAAGGGGAAGAGUCUGAAGAAUGCCAAGGAGGAGGACUUGCCCCGGGACUCACCAGACCUGGGCCUGAGCAGGGAUAUGGGGGGAGGACAGGUGGGACAAGGGGGAGACACCUCGGAUGAUGACAAUGUUUUCUUGAAGGGGGACAUCCUGAGCCAGACGGUUCAGCAGCCCUUCUCCUCUGGUCUGGGUGGUCGCUACGAGACAGAGCAGGAGGAUUACAGCUUCUUCCCCUCCACACCGCGCACCCGCCAUGUCCGCCUGCUCUUCAGGGAUGGGCCUGGGGACACCCCCCUGACCUCCCAGCCCGGAGGUCUCAGACACAACCAGCCCGGGCCCCCCGAGGGCCUGCACGGCUACAAGAGGAGCAAGAGCUCUGACAGCCUCAACCUCCGCAUGCGCUUCGCCCAGGCCCACAAGUCCCUGUCCAGCCUGUUUGAGUCUCGCUCCAUGGACAAGGAGAACGAGGAGGAGCAGGUGAACAUUGAGACUGGGAACGAAGGGGAGGUGGGGCGAGCCAAACAGUCCUGGAGGAGGCUAAAGAGAGAGAGGGCCAAGGAGGCAGAGCUGCUGAGGAGGACCCUGUCUGUCCCGGUCGGGGACGGGGUCAAGGGAGAGGACGGUGAGGAUGGGGGUGUGAGGACGCCCAGACAGACCCACAGUGACUAUGCGUCCCGCUCUGCCUCAGUGCUCAGUGUCCCUGGGUCCCCCUCCUCUCUCAGGGCCCUGUGUCUCACCGACCCCCUCACUAAGAGGGGCUUCCAGGACAGUCACAGCGUGGUCGGGGAGAACACCCCACUGGGCUGCAAGUCAGAGGGCCAGAGGAGGAAAGGGAAAGUCCCACCCAACGGCCUGUCAAUCAACUUCUCUGACUCCGGACCGCACUCCUCGGACGACUCUGAAGCCCCACCCACAAACGACUCCAGCCCCCUGUCGCCCAUGAGCCCCGCCUCCCUGGCCACCCUAGCCAAUCAGCUGUCUUGGUCCAGCUCCAGGUCCCCAGGAGGAGCCUAUGAGAGCACAGCGUCUAGCAUGGCAGCAACACCAGACACCCCAGUGAGACCCAUGAGCCCCAAGCCCCACAGCCCCAGACCGGCUGCCCAGCACAGGCCCUUCCGCUACCCCCAAUCUGCCUCAGCCCGGGCCUCAGCCCUGUCCUUGCUCCUCAUGGCUCAGUCAGCCAGUGUAGAGGGCUUGUCUGACCCACCAGAGAAGCCCAAGACCCUGAAGCCCAGAGCGGGGCCGCUAGGCUCCUCCUCCCUCAGUCCAUUGGAGGACAGUGGAGUGGACAGCCAAUCACAGAUCAGCCUGCUUACACCUAUGUCCAUCAACCAGUUUGAGACUCAGGGUGGCUGUAGACCCACCAGCCAGGCAGGAGGAGAGAAGAGGCUAGCAGAGCUUAAGUCCCCUGGGUCUGGACUGGUCACUACUGCCUCAGCCCUCAGACCACCACCAGGCCACAGGCCGAACAGGGAGAGGGACAGGGGUCCAAGACGCCACCGCUGCUCCUCAGAUGACCUGUGGAUCGAAGAGGAGAAGAGACGGAAGCGGAAGCUGGCCCGAGUCGUGAGGGGCAGCCUGGGACAACUCAACACCCACUGUCCUGAAGAUCUGGAGAAAGUAAGACUCCACCAUGCUUACCGCUGCAAAAAAACCUACAGCCUAGCAGAGAGGGAACCUGUCUCUCUCCUCCUCCUCCUUGCUCCUCUUCAUCUACGUACUUCUCGGAAGUGUCUCCUCCUCCUCCUCUUCUCCUCCUCAUCCUUGCUCCUCUUCAUCUACGUACUGCUCAGGGAGUGUCUCCCCCCUCUUUCCUCUCCUCCUCCUUGCCCUCUUUCAUCUACGUACUGUCUCAGGGAAGUGUCUCCGCCGCCUCCUCUUCUCCUCCUCCUCCUUGCUCCUCUUCAUCUACGUACUGUCUCAGGGAAGUGUCUCCUCCUCCAUCUCUUCUCUCCUUCGCCAGCUGUUUUCUCCCUGGAGUCUUGGCAUCUCUCCUUUGUUUACAUUUUUUCUCUUCCGUCUUUUUUGGAUGUCUUUCUCGCUCGCUCAUGUUUCUGUGCCAGUCUCUCUCAGCAUCUACUCUAAACCUGUAUGAACCUUCAGGUCAGUCUGCUCUGGACAAACAUAUUAUUACUAUUCCUAUAGUAUUAUUACAUAUAAUACACACACAGUACCAGUCAAAAAUGUUAACACACCUACACAUUUUUCUUUAUUUUUAAUAUUUUCUACAUUGUAGAAUAAUAGUGAAGACAUCAAAACUAUGAAAUAACAUAUAUGGAAUCAUGGAGUAACCCGAAAAGUGUUAAACAAAUCAAAAUAUAUUUUAUAUUUUAGAUUCUUCAAGGUAGCCACCCUUUGCCUUGAUGACAGCUUUGCACACUCUUGGCAUUCUCUCAACCAGCUUAAUGAGGAAUGCUUUUCCAACAGUCUUGAAGAAGUUCCCACAUAUGCUGAGCACUUGUUGGCUGCUUUUCCUUCACUCUGCAGUCUAACUCAUCCCAUACCACCUCAAUCGGGAGGUUGGGUGAUUGUGGAGGCCAGGUCAUCUGAUGCAGCACUCCAUCACUCGCCUUCUUGGACAAAUAGCCCUUACACAGCCUGGAGGUGUGUUUUGGGUCAUUGUCCUUCUGAAAUAAUAAUAAUAGUCCCACUAAGCGCAAACCAGAUGGGAUGGCGUAUUGCUGCAGAAUGCUGUGGUAGCCAUGCUGGUUAAGUGUGCCUUGAAUUCGAAAUUAAUCACAGACAGUGUCACCAGCAAGCACCCCCACACCAUCACACCUCCUCCUCCAUGCUUCACUGUGGGAACCACACAUGCAGAGAUCAUCCGUUCACCUACUCUGCAUCUCACAAAGACACGGCGGUUGGAACCAAAAAUCUCAAAUUUGGUCUAAUGUCCAUUGCUUGUGUUUCUUGACCCAAGCAAGGCCCGUCUUAUUGGUGACCUUUAGUAGUGUUUCUUUGCAGCAAUUCGACCAUGAAGGCCUGAUUCCACGCUGUCUGAACAGUUGAUGUUGAGAUGUGUCUGUUACUUGAACUCUGUGAAGCAUUUAUUUGGGCUGCAAUUUCUGAGGCUGGUAACUCUAAUGAACUUAUCCUCAGCAGCAGAGGUAACUCUGGGUCUUCCUUUCCUGUGGCGGUCAUCAUGAGAGCCAGUUUCAUCAUGACACUUGAUGGUUUUUGCGACUGCAGUUGAAGAAACGUUCAAAAUUCUUGAAAGGUUCCAUAUUGACUGACCUUCAUGUCUUAAAGUAAUGAUGGACUGUCAUUUCUCUUUGCUUACUUGAGCUCUUUUACCAAAUAGGGAUCUCUUCUGUAUAUACCACCCCCACCUUGUCACAACACAACUGAUUGGCUCAAACACACAGAAGAAAAUACAUUUAACAAGGCACACGUGUUAGUCACCUGGAAUGCAUUUCAAUUAUCUCAUGAAGCUGGUUGAAAGAAUACCAAGAGUGUGCAAAGCUGUCAUGUUUAACACUUUUUUGGUUACUACACGAUUCCAUGUGUUAUUUCAUAGUUUUGAUGUAUUCACUAUUAUUCUAUAAUGUAGAAAAUUGUAAAAAAAAAUAUAAAGAAAAACCCUUGAAUGAGUAGGUGUGUCCAAACCUUUGACUGUUACUUAAAAAAAGAAAGGCAUGGGUCUUAACAUAGCAAGUUAGCAGUGUACUAACUACUGUACACCAAUAGACUGCUAAGAGGUAGGCCUUGUUGGAUCCCAAGCCUCGAUCUGUCCUUCUCCCCACAGGCACGGGCUCGAGUGUCCCUGUCGACCAUGGAGGAGUUCUCCGGGAUUCCCCUGAAGGCCCACUGCUUCUCCCAGAGCACCCCCAUCGGACUUGACUGUCUGGGCUGGAGACGACGCAUCUCCUACCCCUGUGAGUAGCUCCUUCCUCCCUUUACAUCCUCCUACCCCUGUGAGUAGCUCCGUCCUCCCUUUACAUCCUCCUACCCCUGGGAGUAGCUCCUUCCUCCCUUACAUCCUCCUACCCCUGGAGUAGC